UGGUAGGAUGUGAUUUGUGGGUACGGUGGUGGUUGUGGUGUGGGGAGGAUGGCUACGGUGGUGGCAUAAGGUGUGGGAGGGUGGGUACGGUGGUGGCGGUUCACGAGUAGUGAGGUUGGUGGUUCACGGAUAGUGGUGGUGGUGGUUGUGGGUAGUGGGAAAGGUGGGGAAGGUGGUGGUGGGGUGUGAGAAAUUUUUGUGAAAUUGUAGGAAAUUUUUGAAAAUUUGUAGGAAACUGUUUAAAUUUGAUAAAAUUUUAGAAAUAUGUGAAAUUUUAUGAGAUUUAUCAAAAUUUGUAGGAAAAUAUGAAAUUUUUGUGAAAUUGUAGAAAUAUGUGAAAUAUUAGUAUAAAGGUAUGAAAAUUUGUGAAAUUUGUAAGAAAAUGUUUAAAUUGGUAAAAUUUUGGAAAUAUGUGAAAUUGUAGGAAUGAUAUUUGUGAAAUUUGUAGGAAAAUAUGAAAAUUUUGUGAAAUUGUAGGAAAGUAAUAAAUUUUUUUUUCACAUAUGUCUUCGCGCCUGAUCACUAGUGGUCGCCAUUCUGCUUUCACAUUUGCUCAGAGUGAGAGGUUAACCCCUAACGCCACCUAGGGUGCCAGCGAGACCUAAUGGCCCUGCUAAGUCGUUUGCCGGCGCCAUUAGGGCAGGUGGUCCGAUCUGCUAGGCACCCCUAAAGUCGCAGACGCCAUGAGCUUCUAGCAACCUAACCCCAUCCUUACCACACCUGCUUAAGGCAACCCUAGCGUAAAGGCUGAUUCGACGACUGUGCAAUGAAUGGGGGAUGGGUGAUUUGUAGGGUGUUGGUGAGCAACUAGAUUACUCGGGUCACGUAAAAGCGGAUCUGGGUUGGAUACCUCUCGAGUCACCGAUGAGUGAGUGACAAAGCCAACAAUUUGUUGACUCACGACUGGGUGCCAUCAUCCACACCAAAUGCCCCAUGGUCAUUGAUUCCUGGAAGACGCACAACCCUGAGGUCUGUGUCGAGAUGGAUAGACUGCUCGACAAGCCAACUUCGAGUGGAUAUGAUGAACAAGGCCUGUGUCGAGUAAAUUGACCAAUGUGGAAGGAGUGGUAUAAAGAGUGGAAGUACGAGCUACACAUCUACUACCAGACUUGUGUGUCGCCUAAGACAGCUCAUAGAGAUCCACUUGAGGAAUGAGGAGUUUGUGGAGGGGAUGGGUGAGUGACAUUGGAUGUGCACUCAUUUUCAGAGUGAAAAAUUUCAGGUAAGCUUUAUAUAUAUUUUAAUUGAAUGAGGGUUCUCUUCGGAUCCUCUUUGUGGGGAUCCUAGGGAUCCUCACAUCCUAGUAAUUCAUCAUACAUUGUGCGGUCAGUUUUCGUUAGGUACUACUUAUGUUUAACUUUAAAUUAAAAAUUCAAAAUAAUUUCUGGCUACCGCACGAUGUAUGAUAAACAGUUAGGAUGUGAGGAACCCUAGGAUCCCCACAAUUUGGAUCCAAAUGGGAUCCAAAUCCAUUUUAAUUCUAGUUCAAUUUUUAUGUUUCUUUAGUAAUGUUUAAUUGUAUGUUUUACUUUACAGAAAAAUAAGGGGUUGAGGAAUGGUGAGCUACUGGUUCACAUUUCCUGAAGGUGGAUGUUUGGGGGGAAACACAUGCCAAUUAUGACAUCUAAAUUGCGAACGGCAUUUUUGCUUUUAUGACACUAAAGAAAGACGAGUACCUCGCCUACUCUCCUAGCAGCAACCAGACGUGCCUAUGGAGAAGCUGAUAUGUAAUCCAAAGGUGUAUCUACAAUUAUUGAUGGAUGAGGUUAGGCGAUGGAAAGGCAAAGAACUUCGUGGCCUAUGAGCAGGUCGGGUUUAAGACUUCAGAGGUCGUCUUCUUCAGUAAGUUAUAUCCUUCGACUGAGACUGAUUCCAGA